rnacentral:rRNA from 1 species
GGAGGAAUAUUGGUCAAUGGGCGCAAGCCUGAACCAGCCAAGUAGCGUGAGGGAAGACUGCCCUACGGGUUGUAAACCUCUUUUGUUUGGGAAUAAAGUGCGGGACGCGUCCCGCAUUGCAUGUACCAUUUGAAUAAGGACCGGCUAAUUCCGUGCCAGCAGCCGCGGUAAUACGGAAGGUCCGGGCGUUAUCCGGAUUUAUUGGGUUUAAAGGGAGCGAGCGCCUGGGUUAAGCGUGUUGUGAAAUGUCGUUGCUCAACAACGUCACUGCAGCGCGAACUGCCGGGCUUGAGUGUGCGGAAAGCGGGCGGAAUUUGUGGUGUAGCGGUGAAAUGCUUAGAUAUCACGAAGAACUCCGAUUGCGAAGGCAGCUCGCUGUAGCAUUACUGACGCUGAAGCUCGAAGGUGCGGGUAUCGAACAGGAUUAGAUACCCUGGUAGU